UAAAGAAUUUCGGUAUGGGAUGGGGAUGCGUUCCAUUAGUUAGUUGGCGGGGUAACGGCCCACCAAGACAACGAUGGAUAGGGGUUCUGAGAGGAAGGUCCCCCACAUUGGAACUGAGACACGGUCCAAACUCCUACGGGAGGCAGCAGUGAGGAAUAUUGGUCAAUGGACGAGAGUCUGAACCAGCCAAGUAGCGUGAAGGGUGACUGCCCUAUGGGUUGUAAACUUCUUUUAUAUGGGAAUAAAAUGUUCCACGUGUGGGAUUUUGUAUGUACCAUAUGAAUAAGGAUCGGCUAACUCCGUGCCAGCAGCCGCGGUAAUACGGAGGAUCCGAGCGUUAUCCGGAUUUAUUGGGUUUAAAGGGAGCGUAGGUGGAUUGUUAAGUCAGUUGUGAAAGUUUGCGGCUCAACCGUAAAAUUGCAGUUGAAACUGGCAGUCUUGAGUACAGUAGAGGUGGGCGGAAUUCGUGGUGUAGCGGUGAAAUGCUUAGAUAUCACGAAGAACUCCGAUUGCGAAGGCAGCUCACUGGACUGCAACUGACACUGAGGCUCGAAAGUGUGGGUAUCAAACAGGAUUAGAUACCCUGGUAGUCCACACAGUACACGAUAGGUACUCGCUGUUUGCGAUAUACAGUAA
rnacentral:rRNA from 1 species